rnacentral:rRNA from 1 species
CCUACGGGAGGCAGCAGUGGGGAAUAUUGGACAAUGGGCGAAAGCCUGAUCCAGCAAUGCCGCGUGAGUGAUGAAGGCCUUAGGGUUGUAAAGCUCUUUUACCCGGGAUGAUAAUGACAGUACCGGGAGAAUAAGCUCCGGCUAACUCCGUGCCAGCAGCCGCGGUAAUACGGAGGGAGCUAGCGUUGUUCGGAAUUACUGGGCGUAAAGCGUACGUAGGCGGUUAUUCAAGUCAGAGGUGAAAGCCUGGGGCUCAACUCCAGAACUGCCUUUGAAACUAGAUAGCUAGAAUCAUGGAGAGGUCAGUGGAAUUCCGAGUGUAGAGGUGAAAUUCGUAGAUAUUCGGAAGAACACCAGUGGCGAAGGCGACUGACUGGACAUGUAUUGACGCUGAGGUACGAAAGCGUGGGGAGCAAACAGGAUUAGAUACCCUGGUAGUCCACGCCGUAAACGAUGAUAACUAGCUGUUCGGACCUUUAAGGUUUGAGUGGCGACNGCUACGACUAUAAGUUAUACCGUCCGUCGGGUAGGUACGGUCGCGAGAAGUAAACGUAACGAAGAAGUAAGUACGGUACGUUGAGUACGUUAGCGACGACGACGACGAGGGAGGAGG